ensembl:misc_RNA
UUAAGAGAACUGGAAAGUUAAGUCCUGUAUUUAGCCACAAAGCAUGUAAAGCACAGACAAGCGUCUCCACUGUGCAGCCAUGCUCUGCCUCAGCCCUGACUUGGAGGGACCCCACCAGUUGGUGAGAAAAGGUACAGUUUCCAUGCUUGGCCUCUGGGCCAUG